rnacentral:rRNA from 1 species
AGAUAAUAGAUACCCAGGUAGUCCACGCCCUAAACGAUGUUUACUUGCCGUUGGGAGAGAUUUCAGUGGCGAAAGCUAAACGCGAGAAGUAAACCGCCUGGGGAGUACGGUCGCAAGAUUAAAACUCAAAGGAAUUGACGGGGACCCGCACAAGCGGUGGAUGAUGUGGAUUAAUUCGAUGCAACGCGAAGAACCUUACCUGCUCUUGACAUGCUAGGAAGGCUGUAGAGAUAUAGCUGUGCCUUCGGGAACCUAGACACAGGUGCUGCAUGGCUGUCGUCAGCUCGUGUCGUGAGAUGUUGUCUUAAGUGACGCAACGAGCGCAACCCUUGCCACUAGUUGCCAAAAAGGGACUCUAGUGGGACUGCUGGUAAAUAUCGGAGGAAGUGGGGAUGACGUCAAGUCCUCAUGGCCCUUAUGAGCAGGGCUUCACACGUCAUACAAUGGUAGGUACAGACGGUUGCCAAGCCGCGAGGUGGAGCUAAUCCGAGAAAGCCUAUCGUAGUCCGG